UACGAAGGGGGCUAGCGUUGCUCGGAAUCACUGGGCAUAAAGCGCACGUAGGCGGAUUGCUAAGUCAGGGGUGAAAUCCUGGAGCUCAACUCCAGAACUGCCUUUGAUACUGGUGAUCUCGAGUCCGGGAGAGGUGAGUGGAACUGCGAGUGUAGAGGUGAAAUUCGUAGAUAUUCGCAAGAACACCAGUGGCGAAGGCGGCUCACUGGCCCGGUACUGACGCUGAGGUGCGAAAGCGUGGGGAGCAAACGGG
rnacentral:rRNA from 1 species